CAGCGGUGGCCGACUGCGCAGUGGCCGCCAGCUCGGCUCUGGAAGCCAGGGGACCCCAUAGGGGUCCUACUGACCCGCGGCUGGGCCUCACCCGGAGCCACAGGGCCAGGCGGGUCAGGCUGCCUAGGCCGAGCAACGCACCUGCUGGGCUCCAGCGCCACACAGAGAGCCCGGGAGUAGUCGCCCGGCUCUGGGCCCCCACGCGAGUCUCGCUGUGCGGCCGCCGUGCUCGCGGAAUGCGGGACAACGGCGCCUCCCGCCCCGCCAUGCCUGACGGAGCAGGAGAAUCAAGACACCUGAGAGCCUCCACAUGUUCAAGUGGCCUCUUACCAGAAGACAACUGUCCCCAACAAAACUUCCCACCGAAUCUAUUGCCUCAAAGUCAAUUCUGAAUUCCCGUAAAUAUUUCUACAUGUUUUGAUAGUGUUGAACCUCUGCCCUGAGACUAAGACGAGACAUCAGUGACACUUGUAACCAUCUUUCUUUCAAUGGCUUCCGAGGAAAGUCAGUCCCGUCUCGUCUCCACUUCUAUUUUCUGAUUAUCUCUCUUAAAGAAUUGAAGCAUUUGAUAAUAUAUUCACAUAACUAUUUUGAUAUUCAACAAGAAGGCAGUGUAUCUUGCAGUUAUCUUUAGAACUCAUCUUCAAGAGAAUUAAAAACAAAAGUUUGGGCUCUGCUAAAUAUUAUCUUUAAAAAAAACUCUUAGUAAUUAUUUUUAAUAUUAGCCAAGAACAAGCAGCACGUUAACUGCUCCUUGAAUGAAAAGAUGUGUUUCACUGAAGUCACUUAAGGCUAAGAAUCCAUUCUCUCAGCCCAACCGUGAGCUCCCACAUAAUCCCUGUGGCGAGAAGGGGUGCCAAAACUCCUUUUCCUCCAGUUUCCAGGAACCAAGCCAAGGAAGGCGUUCAGAAGCCUGUAUCUUAGGAAAGAUUCUAGACUGACCUUAGGAAGGAUCCAGCAACUGACUAAGCAGCACAAGAAAGCAUUUUUGAAGGACCAUAGCUGCUAAUGAGCACGUGUGGGGCAAAAGGAAAUCUGAGACAGCCUUUCUCCAUCAAGUUAGACUGAUGGGCUCAACUUGUAGUGUUGGAAGGGAAGCUGCAGGACUCAGCUUCACAUGCCACCGAGCACAGGUAUCUCUGCUAAUGGAGAUGGUAAAGCUUAGGCUUUUCUUUACAAAAGCGCUCCUGAAUUCAACUUGUCCUCCCAUUCUUUUCUCUUGUAAACUGUGUCUACAUGUGGGCAUGUGCCUGUGUGGGCAGUGUCUGAAGGACAGAGGCAUCAGAUCCCCUGGAGUUGAAUUAAGGAGUUAUCAUAGGAGUUAGGAAUUGAACGAACGUGGGUCCUUUGGAAGGACAGUAUGCAUUCUGAACUGCAGAGCCAUUUUUCCAGGUUCCUUGUCUCCCAACAAAACUCCCGCCUCACACCUCAUCUACAAGGCUGCCUCCCACCAAUCCACUGAGGACUUCUGCUUCAGCUAUGGCCCCUCUGGUCUCUUUAUGGUGUAAACACUUACUCCUCAGACAGCUUCCCUCAUGUAAGAUGACCCAAUUUCAUAAAAAUACUGGCAUCAAAGGUAGGAUACGCAAGGAAAGUCAGGAUAGAGUUCAGAUUCCUCAAGAAGAGGCUGAGUUUAUCAACUGUUUCAUCCAACAUUUGUAACUUUAUUUCAAAAUAUAAAUACUUUACAUUUUACAAAGAUGUUACAUCAGUAGGUUGUGAGAACAAAUUAAAGCUAAGAAACGGCAUUUGUGUAAUAAAGAAUAUUUAUUGUUUCAUCUGAA